CGCGUUUGUGAGGAUUCGUUCGACUACGUCUGUUUGUCUUCUUCAUGGACUCGUUCUUCUUCCUUGCGGGAUCUCAGGCAAGAUGAUCAUACCCUCAAAAUCACUUCUAUCUUUGCUUGCUAGUUGCUCGCUCUUUUGCUAUGCCUAUGCUGCGAUACCUACCACUUGCUUAUCAUGCCUCCCCUCUUGUUGAACCAAGCCUCUAACCCACCUUGUCCUAGCAAACCGUUGUUUGGCUAUGUUACCGAUUUGCUCAGCCCCUCUUAUAGCGUUGUUAGUUGCAGGUGAAGAUUGAAGUUUGUUCCUUGUUGGAACAUGGAGAUGUUGUUCCUUGUUGGAACAUGUUUACUUGUUGGGAUAUCACAAUACCUCUUAUUUAAUUAAUGCAUCUAUAUACUUGGUAAAGGGUGGAAGGCUCAGCCUUAUGCCUGGUGUUUUGUUCCACUCUUGCCGCCCUAGUUUCCGUCAUAUCGGUGUUAUGUUCCUGGAUUUUGCGUUCCUUACGUGGUUGGGUUAUAAUGGGAACCCCUUGACAGUUUGCCUUGAAUAAAACUCCUCUAGCAAGGCCCAACAUUGGUUUUACCAUUCGCCACCUAGCCUUUUUUCCCUUGGGUUAGGCCAUCCCAAGGGUCAUCUUUAUUNNNNNNNNNNNNNNNNNNNNNNNNNNNNNNNNNNNNNNNNNNNNNNNNNNNNNNNNNNNNNNNNNNNNNNNNNNNNNNNNNNNNNNNNNNNNNNNNNNNNNNNNNNNNNNNNNNNNNNNNNNNNNNNNNNNNNNNNNNNNNNNNNNNNNNNNNNNNNNNNNNNNNNNNNNNNNNNNNNNNNNNNNNNNNNNNNNNNNNNNNNNNNNNNNNNNNNNNNNNNNNNNNNNNNNNNNNNNNNNNNNNNNNNNNNNNNNNNNNNNNNNNNNNNNNNNNNNNNNNNNNNNNNNNNNNNNNNNNNNNNNNNNNNNNNNNNNNNNNNNNNNNNNNNNNNNNNNNNNNNNNNNNNNNNNNNNNNNNNNNNNNNNNGGGCCAGUGCUUGUCUAAGUGUUGGUCCAACCGAGCGAUGUCCGGAGCUACCAGGGGCAACUCUGGGCUGGCCCACCCGACGUCUUGCUCAUCCGGUGUGCCCUGAGAACGAGAUAUGUGCAGCUCCUAUCGGGAUUUGUCGGGACAUCUGGGUGGUCUUGCUGGUCUUGUUUUACCAUUGUCGAAAUGUCUUGUAACCGGGAUUCCGAGUCUGAUCGGGUCUUCCCGCUAGAAGGAAUAUCCUUCGUUGACCUUGAGAGCUUGUGAUGGACUAAGUUGGGACACCCCUGCAGGGAUUUGAACUUUCGAAAGCCGUGCCCGCGGUUAUGGGCAGAUGGGAAUUUCUUAAUGUCCGGUUGUAGAAAACCUGAAGUUGACCUUAAUUAAAAUGCACCAACCGCGUGUGUUACCGUGAUGGUCUCUUCUCGGCGGGGUCCGGGAAGUGAACACGGUGUUGGAGUUAUGCUUGACGUAGGUUGUUCUAGGAUCACUUCUUGAUCAUAGUUGUUCGAUCGUGCUUUGCUUUCUCUUCUCGCUCUCUUUUGCGAAUAGGUUAGCCACCAUAUAUGCUAGUCGCUUGCUGCAGCUCCACCCCAUACCUUUACCUUACCCAUAAGCUUAAAUAGUCUUGAUCGCAAGGGUGUGAGAUUGCUGAGUCCCCGUGACUCACAGAUACUUCCAAAACCAGCUUGCAGGUGCCGAUGAGUUCGUGCAGAUGAUGCAACCAAGCUCAGGAGGACCUCGAUGAAGAUCUUGUCCUUUGUGUUGUUGCAUUUUCCAUUUGAUCAGUAGUGGAGCCCAGUUGGGACGAUCGGGGAUCUGUGUAGCAUUUGGGGUAGUCUUCUUUUAUUUUGAUUCCGUAGUCGGACCUUGAGUGUAUUUGGAUGAAUGUAAUGCUUUAUUCAUGUAAUUGGGUGAAGUGGCGAUUAUAAGCCAACUAUUUAUCUCUUUCCCUUAUGUAUUACAUGGAUUGUGUGAAGAUUACCUCACUUGCGACAUUGCUUUCAAUGCGGUUAUGCCUCUAAGUCGUGCUUCGACAUGUGGGAGAUAUAGACGCAUCGAGGGCAUUACAAGUUGGUAAUCAGAGCCUUCCCCGACCUUAGGAGCCCCCCUGAUUGAUCGAAUUAGCUGACGAGUUGAGUCUAGAAAAAUGUUUUGAGUCAUUUAGGAAUUAUAUAUCGGAGAGUUAGGAAUUCUUUUACUCCUCAGUCCCUUCAUCGCUCUGGUAAGGCAUCCUGACGUAGAGUUUUGACUCUUCUCUUCUCAAAUUUCACUAAAACAAUUUAGGAUCACGUGGGUAUCUUGGAAUCGUUCCGAUCGAUUUGUGACGAGAACAUUGUUCUUGGUGCCUCCUGUCAUUUAGGGGUUGUGGCAGUGUCCCGGGGAGUUGAGCUCCGAGGUGUUGUCGUCACAAUUUUAUCGUUGCAGUUCUGGAAUACCUGAGUUUAGUUUCGCCGACAUCGAAAAUCUCUUUUAUGCAGUUGUUGGUGAGAUAACCUCGACACCACCCAGUACUGGGGCGGGAGUUCGGGAGUAUUGCCAUAACUCGUAUAACGGAUGCUUUUCGAAGGUUGAGGUAGAUGAUUUCCGAAGGUUUCUUGGUUAUGUGUUGAAGGAUGGAUACAGCUGGAUGUAGGAUUUGCUAAUUUUGGGUGAGAUAUUAUGCUUCCCCUGUAUCCCCAACACCUGAUUGCAUAAUCGGAAAAUUUCGGGAGUUUAUAAGUGGGAAUUCAAGUAGCUCUUAGGAUAUCUUUCCGACAGAUGUAUGAUACGAAAUUGGGGUUCGACGUCUAGUGGUCCGCCUAUUCACGGUUGGUUUUACAGUGGUCUCGUUGUGUCUUAAAGAGUCCUUGGCUAUGCCGACUCAGGGACGCUUCGUAUGUCAUGUGCACUGCCUUGUACAUGAUGGUGCUGUACGAUCGAGCCCGUGUAGGCCCCACCACGAAAACUUCGGACGAAAUCUCUAUCAUAUGUUUGUUCAGGCUUAUUCUGCAAGCCAAUCCUUUGUUUGUUUUGAGUUGUGGUAUUUGAGUUGCUUCGAAGUCAAAUGUUAAUUCCAUACCUUCUCUACACGGUGUUCUCAUACUCCGAUGUGAAUACCAAUCCUUCAUGAUCAUCGAUAUUGUCAUGUCAAUCCUUUUCAACCGGCGUGUUUUCUUUUCAAGUUGAUCGAACAUUUCACCAUCCGCAAGAUCAAGUAUCAGUUCUUCUCAACGGUGUUCAUUUCUUCCGUCUCCAAGUUGCCUUUGUUUUUCCCACCCUCCCUCCCUUUGUUUUCUUCAAGGACUCAGAUUUCUUAAUCAAGUAUCUUUUUAUUCAUGUGAAGUCUCUCCAUUCUUUUUCGUUAAUGUUCUUACCCGGUGGAUCUCACGAAGAUUCUAAUGGAGCUUCAAGUUCGUCAUUCUUCAUUCUUUUCUUCUCCGGUGGAUUCAAUUCAAGUUUUUGGUGUUGAUCAUAUCCUUUCCUCGUUUCAGAAGUUUUAUCAUACCGGUGCACCUCUUAAUCAUCCACUUCUCGCUCUUCAAUUAUUUCAGAGUGCUCAAGAUAUCUCGAAGAUUCAUGUUUCCGCUCUACAUUCGUUCAAGAUCUUUCGAGGAUGUUACCUCUUUCAAGCCAUUUAUUUCAACCGGCGCAAUCUAUAUUCUAAAUCAUUCAACAAUGUAUCUUUUGAGUGGGCCCUAACCCACAGGUCUUUUUUCCAGGAUCUUACCUGACUCUUCUUAUUUUCCGGAGCUAUCCUCAAAUUUCAUUUCGAAGUUUGACAUAAGAAUGAAUUAUCAUCAGUCAAAUGUCUUUCUCCAAGAUCGGUUAAAUUCUUUUCAUCGUUGGCUCAACAUUCCAUUUUUCAUCUCGGAGUAUCUCAAGUGGUGUUUUUCAUCGUCAUUCUCAGAUUUUGAAGACCGAAGAAGAGUUCCUCCUAAAUCCUUAUCCGUUCUCUUGAAGAUUCAUGGUGCUAGCUUGUUGCCAUCCUCUCAUAAUUAUUUUCGAUGGUGAGAAUACUUUUCACCCAUCAGGAGAUAUUCAAGGGUAUUUUCAGUUCGAUUAUCCGGAGCCCAUCAUUUCAGAAGACUUGUUCAUUCUCAGCUUUCAGCUCUCGUUCCCCAAAUCUCACUGGUGCAUCAUUCAAUAUUCUUUAACCAACGCGUGAUCUCUUCGUUCUCAUGUAUCUAAAUCCUAGCAAGUAUUUUCAUUCAUUUGCUAAUUCCUCCCGGUGUUUCUUUAUCUUCUCUUCGUUCAUUUUUAAUUCUUACGGUGGUUCGUUAAAGAUUUCUCUUCCUUAUCAAUUCAUUCGUGGUUUCAAUUCUACCGGUGGUUCGUUGAAGACCUUCCUCAAGUUUGUGCUAUAUCUAUAUUAAUCCUUUUUACGAGAAUAAGUAGUAUGCCAAUUCCAUUGCUUGUCAUCAAUUUAAAUUGGUGAAGGAUAAGCAUAAUGUAAUUCUUAUUCUUGUUUCAUCCAUAUGUUAAUCUUUUCUUCCGAAGUUUGUUCAUGAUGAUUAUAUUCUUAGUUUCAAGUGCUCGUCUUUCUUUCCCGGAGUUCCAAGCUCUAAUUAUCACGGAGAUCCAUCUUAAUCAUUACAAGGUGUCACCUUGUGUUUCCGACUUCUCUUUAUUUUCGUUAUUCUUUUUUGUCUACCGGAGUUCUUCAUGAAGGUUCUACAUGUUGGUUCAUCAAGGAUUUAUAUCCCUUCUCCAAGUGUUCAUUGAGAUUCUUUUCUAAGGAGCUCAAGCAUUCUUCAUCUUGCUAUCUGGAGUGCAAUUCUUUCUAUCGUAUCAUUGGAGGUGGUAUUAUGUCAUUCUUGAUAAUUUGAGUUCAUGUUUCAUGAUUCACACGUUGUUAAGACUGAGAUAUUUUAAAUCCAUCAACCUCUUCGUUGGAGUUAUCUUGGGUUAUAUUUCACCUAAAGCCUUCCCUAAGGAUUGUUGCUAUUUAUGGUGCUCAUAAAGGACCCAAGUUCGUCUUUUAUCCUCCCGGUGAAAUAAGUUUUCUCGUCUCCUUGUUCAUAUCAGUCCAAUUCUUCUUCCCAUGAGUGGCAGGGUGUCACCUCAUAAUUUGAGAUGUAUUCCAUAAGACCAUAUCAAGAUUAUUCUUUUCGUUGUUGGGUUUUUUUUCCAACAACUCCGUUUGACCCUUCUCCUAAGGAUACCUUCUCAAGCUCUUUUGUGGCAGAAGUUGUUUUUUUCUCCAUUCUUUUAUUUAAAUUAUCUAUCUUGUAGUGGUGGAGUGUUGUGACGCCCCAAGACCGGAGCUUCAGAUGCCUUCCAUGUUUUCCGAGUUCCGUCGGGUGUUUUGUUUUGUCUGUUGCAUGCAUCAUUGCAUAUUUUGCGUUGCAUCAUGUCAUCAUGCCAUCAUGUCAUUUCUUUUCUUAACUCAACUAAAUAAAUGGCAUGGAUCUUUGAUCCAUUUAGAUCGAGGGAAGGGUGACUUCUCUUUAUAACAUAUCCUCCCGAUAUUAGGGAGCUAUAGUAAAUAUUUUUUUAAUUUGGAAUUCACCUUAACACACUUGCAUGUUAAAUCCCUUGGCCUUUUUCUUCUUCAACUGUUGACUCUCUAACCUUGCCAUUUAUUCUUUCAUCAUAUUCUGGAGCUCUACCAAAAUUGUCAACAUUUUUUGGAAACUCCUAAAACCUCGUCCUAGUUCAAACCCAUUUGAAUAAAAUUCAAAUGAGUUUGAAUUCUUAUCGUUCGAUCUGGCAUUUUCUAAUUUUCUCGGACCAAGCAUUUUUUUGUGAGUCUAAGAAAAUUAACCACAUGCCCUAAUUCUUCUUCCAACCUUCUUGUAAUGCCCUCGAUGCGGCUAUAUCUCCCACGUGUCGAAGCACGACUUAGAGGCAUAACCACAUUGAAAGCAAUGUCGCAAGUGAGGUAAUCCUCACACAACCCAUGUAAUAUAUAAGGGAACGAGAUAGAUAGUUGGCUUACAAUCGCCACUUCACACAAAUACAUGAAUAAAGCAUUACAUCAUCCAAAUACAAUCAGGGCCCGACUAUGGAGCCAAAAUAAAAGAAGAACCCCAAAUGCGACAAGGUCCCCGAUCGACCCCAACUGGGCUCCACUACUGAUCAACUAGAAAAAAACAACACAAAGGACAAGAUCUUCAUCGAGCUCCUCUGUGAGCUUGGUUGCAUCAUCUGCACGGUUCAACAGCACCUGCAAGCUGGUUUGGAAGUAUUUGUGAGCCACAGGGACUCAACAAUCUCGCACCCUGGCGAUCAAGACUAUUUAAGCUUAUAGGCAAGGUAAAGGUAUGAGGUGGAGCUGCAGCAAGCGACUAGCAUAUAUGGUGGCUAAACAUACGCAAAUGAGAGCGAGAAGAGAAGGCAAAGCACGGUCGAUAAAAUUAUGAUCAAGAAGUGAUCCUAUAGCAACCUACAUCAAGCAUAACUCCAACACCGUGUUCACUUCCCGGACUCCGCCGGAAAGAGACUAUCACGGUUACACACGCAGUUGAUUCAUUUUAAUUAAGUUAAGGUUCAAGUUAUCUACAACCGGACAUUAACAAAUUCCCAUCUGCCCAUAACCGUGGGCACGACUUUCGAAAGUUCAAAUCCCUGUAGGGGUGUCCCAACUUAGCCCAUGACAAGCUCUCAUGGUCAACGAAGGAAUAGACCUCCUCCCGAGACAUUCUGAUCAGACUCGGUAUCCCGGUUCUACAAGACAUCCUCGACAAUGGUAAAACAAGUCCAGCAAGACCACCCGCUGUGCCGACAAAUCCUGAUAGGAGCUGCACAUAUCUCAUUCUCAAGGCACACCAGAUAAGCUAAGCAUACAGGAGCCGACGUAACCCAAGUUGCCAAGGGAUGGCCCUGCACGGUGCUCUGGGUUGGACCAACACUCAGAGGAGCACUGGCCCAGGGGUUUAAUAAAGAUGACCCUUGGGCUGGCUGACCCAAGGGAAAGAAAAAGGCUAGGUGGCAAAUGGUAAAACCAAUGUUGGGCCUUGCUGGAGGAGUUUUAUUCAAGGCGAACUGUCAAGGGGUUCCCAUUAUAACCCAACCGCGUAAGGAACGCAAAAUCCGGGAACAUAACACCGAUAUGACGGAAACUAGGGCGGCAAGAGUGGAACAAAACACCAGGCAUAAGGCCGAGCCUUCCACCCUUUACCAAGUAUAUAGAUGCAUUAAUUAAAAUAAGAUAUAUUGUGAUAUCCCAACAAGUAAACAUGUUCCAACAAGGAACAACAUCUCCAUGUUCCAACAAGGGACAACCUUCAAUCUUCACCUGCAACUAACAACGCUAUAAGAGGGGCUGAGCAAAGCGGUAACACAGCCAAACAACGGUUUGCUAGGAAAAGGUGGGUUUGAGGCUUGGUUCAACAAUAUGGGAGGCAUCAUAAGCAAGUGGUAGGUAUCGCAGCAUAGGCAUAGCAAAAGAGCGAGCAACUAAGCAAGCAAAGAUAGAAGUGAUUUCGAGGGUAUGAUCAUCUUGCCUGAGAACCCGCAAGGAAGAAGAACGAGUCCAUGAAGAAGACAAACGGACGAGGUCGAACGGAUCCUCACAAAUGCGACGUUAACGGAACUAACCCGAAGAAGCAACACCGGAAAGAAGCAAACAACAUAGUAAACAACCAACACAUAAGCAUGGCAUGAUGCACAACCAAGUAUGAUGCAUGUCCGGUUUAAAUAUGCAUGACAUGGCAAAGUGCAACAACCAAAACUACAAAUUAAGUGGAGCUCAAUAUGCAACGUGUUGCAUAUUGACGGAACACCACGUUCUCUCUCGGUUAUGUACCCACCAAUAUUAAAUAUUGUUAAACAUGGCAAGAGGGUGAAGCAAAAGAAAACUACCCAUCUAGUCCAAUUUAAACAAGGCCGGGAACAACAAACAACAAUUCCGGAAACUCCUCAUGUGCAUAUGUUAGGUUAGGUCCUAUUCUGCCCAAAACCAUAUUUUAGAGUUAUUAGGCAUGCAAAACAAAGUCAACAUGAUAAACUAGGCAAAAUCCUACCCCAUUUACAUAUAAAGUUUGUUAGGUUUGGAGCUAUGGUUAAAUAGUUAUGAAUUAAAUCAUUUUAGCAUGGCAUAGGGGCAAAUUAAAACAAACAACAUUUUAAGCAUUUCAAACAUGGAUGGAAAAGACAUAUUAUUAAAGUAGACACAAUUCUAAGCAAGUUUCAUAUAUAAAACAUUUUAAUCCGAUGCACGGUUAGUGAGUUAUUAAAUGCAUGAACCAGGGGGACUUUUCUGUAAAACUGCAGUCUCAGGAAAUUAGCAAAAUUCACAAGACCAGGAAAAAAACACAACGGGCCGAAUCUGGAACAGAGCAUGGGCGCAGGAUAAUAUGCAGCGCACAGGGCGAGGGAAAAAGGUGGCUUCUCGCAUUGGGCCAACGGGCCGAAGGGGAAGCAGAGCGGCGGGCCGGCGGAUCUGGCGAAGAGGAGCUAGGCCUUGGAGACCGAGCGGGGAGCUGGGCCAGGCCAGGGCGUGCGGUGGCCCAUGCGGGCGAGAGGGGCGAGCGUCGGCGUCGUCCUUCUCCCGUGCGCCUCAUGGGCAGAAGAACAAGACGGCGGCGGCAUGACAAAACUCCGGCGACGGCGGGGUUCGGCGAAGCUGGAGAGGCCGGGAACGGGUCGCAGGGCCACGGAUCCGGUGGAUCCCGGCCGGAUCUGGCGAAGACGGGGCCAACGACGAGCUCCCUGGGCGGCGGCAGCGGGCACCUGCGAGAGAGAGGGAGAAUUUAGAGGGAGAGGCCGAAGGAGGGAGGAGAAGGAAGUAGAGAGGCGGGGCGACGAGGCUGUCUUUCUGGAGGUCUCCGGCGAUGGGCGGCGCUCGUCACCGGCGAGCGCGGACGACGGGUCAACGCGGCGGAGGAGCUCGGAUCGGGAUCUCCUCUCCCGAUCUGGAGCUCGGGGAGCACGGGCGGCGCGGUGCGGGCCUCAGAGCCCAGAUUGGGGCCCGGGCGGGCCUGGAGCGGGCCUGGCGGCGCGGGGCGAUGUGGGGCGCGGGGAGGCGACGUGGCAGCUUCCCGUUGGCUGCGGGCGUCCUGCGUGGUGGCGGCUGGCCACCAGGAUGGCGCCAAGUGGCAGGGACGAGGUGGCCGGCGGUGGAAAUAGAGGAGAGGAGGUGGGAGGCGGCUGGCUGACGAUUGGGGGCGCGGAUUUUGAGGAGGAGGAAGGAGAAGGCCAAAAAUGGCAAGGGGGGCUGCUAUAUAUAGCAGGAGGAGCUAGGGUUGGGGGUUUUAGUCCGUUCUGGAGCCGUUCAAUCUUGAUCGGACAACCCGGAGUGGAGGGGGGUUAGAUAGGUGGGCUAGUGGGCUGUGAAGAUAGGUUGGGGUGAGAUGAGAGGAGAGGAGUGCAGCCCGGCAACUGUUUCCGGAGACCGAAAACGUCUGACAUUAGACCGACUAUAUUGUCGCUAUAGUUUAACGGUUGGGCUAUCAAACGAACUCUGAAUGCGAUGAAACUUGACAGGCGGUCUAUCUACACUAUAAUAAGACCGCACGCCAACUUUCGACCCAUUCCGAGAACAUUUUUCCGGCCACUUAUAAAAUGCUAUUUCGGACAUGCCGCGGGCGCGUGCAAGUGUGUCUCGGCUCAGAACGGACAACAGAGAGAACAAGGAGGCCGGGACGCAUGCAAGUUUUAAAACAUGAUGAUGUAAUGCACAUGAUGGCAUGAUAAGAUGCAACACGCAAGCAAAUGACAUGGUAAUGACAGCGAAUAACUGGAAGACACCUGGCACAUCGGUCUCAGGGUGUUACACUUAUCUUGUCUUCUUUCCUCCUAGUUCUCUGUUAAUGUAAAGAGAAAGGAGGAAGAGAGAAACCCGGCCGCCACUUGUGUCCAGUCGGACCAAUUUGGCCGAAGGCCUAGGCUACCGCAAGCCCUUUAGCCAGGCCGGCCUAUUCUGCUUCAGGGCCUGCUAGACCCAGCCGCCUCCCACUAGUGUCGCAACCCUAGGCCGACCAAAACCAUCUCCUUCUUGAUCCCUCUCUCCCUCCUAGUGCCGUUACCAGGAGACCCACGCUCAACCCCCUCCUCUCGCCGUGAUCCUUUCUCCCUCUCUCGAUCUCCCAUGCCUGUACCUCCCAUCUCCCUCUCGUGCCCUAUGAUGCAACCCCGUCGUCGUGCACCACCUUUAGCACCUCCAGCCGCCUCCCAUGGCGCCCUCACCCGCGUGCGAGACCUCCCCGUCGCCAGCACCGCUGCCUUGUGGUGCCUGAGUCCUCGUGCGCCUCCCUACUUCGUCCGGCCGCAGCACCGCCAAGCUCCUCCAACCGCCCCUCCCGGCGACCGGCAGGUCGCUGCCGUCCGUCUCCUCCACUUGGAGCCUGCGCAGCCACGCGCCCAGAGGCCACCGCCCACUCCUCCCUCGAUCCUGCCGGAUUCAAGCGCCGCGAAGCAGCUCCCUCUCCUGCGCGUCUCGCUGCUGUCUCCCCGCAUCGGACCUGGCCUCCACCACCUCGCCUUCAUCUACCUCCCCGCCAGGGUCCCUCGCAGUCUCCACCUCGUUGCCUUGCCUCGUCGCUGGCCCUGCUCCACCUCGUCGCCUUGCAUCCGCAGAACCAGGCCACGGCCGCGCCAUGGCCGCCUCCCUCCUUUGCACCCGGCCUCGACUGGAGUCGCCCCUGUCAGCAACCAGCACGACCACGAGGCUGCCCUCUCCUUCCCCUGCACAGGAGCUCGCAGCUACCACCAUCGCCUCCUUGUUGUUGGCAUCCUGAGGCCCUUUUGUUAUUUUGUGUUGGACGCGGCAAGAUCGACUACAACGACACCAAGUUCCACCACCGGCAAGACCCGGACUCCGAAUGAAAGUACAACUACAAACCCGAAGAAGUCAGAUGCAUCAAGUCCCCGAAGAGACCCGUUUUUUCGUCAAGUUCGACUACAUUGUGACGUGUCAAGUACCUAUACCGUGUCUCCGGAAUCGCCAAGUACCACUUCGAUUCCAGAACGCGACAAGUACCACGACGCCUGGAGUCCUCGGAUCCGUCAAGUUCCAUUAUGAGAUAUACAACUACCGUCGACCUCGAAGACCUCGGAUUCACCAAGUUCUCACGAUGACAAGUGUGACCCUUAGGAUGCGCCAAGUUCGUCCACACAAAAACGCCAAGUACCACUCAUGUCAGCAAGACCCGCAAGUCGGAGCCCGAAUGAUCAACUUCUCGUGGACCGUGUAUAAUUACCGUCGCCCCGAAGACGCCGGAGUCAUCAAGCACCUCUCCGAACGAACGUGAACGACUACCAUCGCCGAGAUCGCGACAACCUCCACCAUCGACCCUAGAGCGUGCAAGAACGACUACUUCCACUAUCAUCGUCGCGAGAACGUCUACUUCCUCUACUUUGCACCAAACGAGAACUGUCCCGCCUGCACGCUUCGAAGGUAUAACCCUGAGACGACCGCCCGUGAACGAAUGCAUGUGUGAUGUAUGAGAUGCUCGUGUUUGCUCUGUGCUCGAAUUGUCGGUGCACGUUGCCCCUCUUUUGCCUGUCACCAUCGUCGACUCAUGGGACACCCGGUAUCCGGGAGUGCCCCACCAUCUUUUGCACGCAUCCGCACACUUCUCCUUUGCAUCGAUAUCUCAAUCGAGUUACCGGAACCGGGACAUUGCCGUGGCACCGUUUCAGUAUCGUUGUCGUGGCACCCCAUUCCUUUCCACCACGGUGACAAAUGCUUCAUAAUGCUCUUGUCAACUUGUAAUAUAAAUUGCAUAAACUUGUUCAUGUCAUCCGCAUCAUGAUAACAACAAUUAAAAUGUUUAGAUUGUUGUUGCAAUAAAUUACUAAGGGACACGGUGUUGGAGUUAUGCUUGACGUAGGUUGUUCUAGGAUCACUUCUUGAUCAUAGUUGUUCGACUGUGCUUUGCUUUCUCUUCUCGCUCUCUUUUGCAAAUAGGUUAGCCACCAUAUAUGCUAGUCGCUUGCUGCAGCUCCACCCCAUACCUUUACCUUACCCAUAAGCUUAAAUAGUCUUGAUCGCGAGGGUGUGAGAUUGCUGAGUCCCUGUGACUCACAAAUACUUCCAAAACCAGCUUGCAGGUGCCGAUGAGUUCGUGCAGAUAACGCAACGAAGCUCAGGAGGAGCUCGAUGAAGAUCUUGUCCUUUGUGUUGUUGCGUUUUCCAUUUGAUCAGUAGUGGAGCCCAGUUGGGACGAUCAGGGAUCUGUGUAGCAUUUGGGGUAGUCUUCUUUUAUUUUGGUUCCGUAGUCGGACCUUGAGUGUAUCUGGAUGAAUGUAAUGCUUUAUUCAUAUAAUUGUAUGAAGUGGCGAUUGUAAUCCAACUAUGUAUCUCUUUCCCUUAUGUAUUACAUGGGUUGUGUGAAGAUUACCUCACUUGCGACAUUGCUUUCAAUGCGGUUAUGCCUCUAAGUCGUGCUUCGACACGAGGGAGAUAUAGCCGCAUCGAGGGCGUUACACGCGUAGGGGGUCCGGAUCGGAACUCAGGGGUUGCGACCCAUUCAGGGUCGCACGGCUCGGUGAUGUAAAACCACCCCGAUUGCCACCCCUUUAGGGACUCCACGAAGGAGCCCUCGGGCCAUAGGACAUUGGGCAUCUUGCCCACCAUGGCGCCUCCGCACUCCGCCUGAGUGCCGCGCACCACCUUCGGCUUGACAUUCAAAGUCUUGAGCCAUAGGCGGAAAUGGGGGCGGAUGCAGAAGAAAGCCUCGCACACGACGAUAAACGCCAAGAUAUUGAGGACAAAGUUUGGGGCCAGAUCGUGGAAAUCCAGGCCAUAUUAGAACAUGAGCCCCCGGACAAAUGGGUGGAGAGGGCAGCCCAGUCCGCGGAGGAAAUGGGGGAGCAACACCACCCUCUCAUGGGGCCUGGGGGUGGGGAUGAGCUGCCCCUCUUCGGGAAGCCGGUGCGCAAUGUCGUUAGACAAGUAUCCGGCCUUCCUCAGUUUUUUUAUGUGUCCCUCCGUGACGGAGGAGACCGUCCACUUGCCUCCUGCUCCAGACAUGGCUGGAGAAGGUUGAGGUGGGGUGUGCGGACUUGGGCGCUGGAGCUCGAGUGCGCGGAAAUGGAUAGACAAAGGAGGAAGAAGGCGUGGAUGAAAAGGUGGAUCCUUAUCCCCUUAUAUGGGCGUACGCGACUAUGCGCCCCCACCAGCCUGGUAAAACUCGCUUAUCUCCCAAGCGCCAUAGUCAAUGGUGCGGUUGGGUUACCCACACCCGUAUUGAUGAGAAUCCCAGAAUAAGGGGACAUGAUCUCUGAUUUAACAAGACGUGCCGAGGAAACCGCCUCGCUAAACACGCUGAGGUGGGACAAUAAAACAAUUCGAAUAAAGACUUGGCUAUGGUGUGAUGUCAUGCUACGGAAUACGCCAGCAGAUUAGAUUUGUGUAAAUAUUAUUCUCUCUAUGGAAAUAUGUGGAAACUUAUUUUUGCAGAGCCGGACACUACCUUUGUGUUCAAAAUCUUCUAUGAAGUACUUGGAGGAGGAACCCGCCUUGCAAUGCCGAAGACAAUCUGCGCGCCGGACUCGUCGUCAUUGAAUCCUGGUUCAGGGGCUACUGAGGGAGUCCUGGAUUAGGGGGUGUCCGGAUGGCCGGACUAUACCUUCGGCCAGACUCCUGGACUAUGAAGAUACAAGAUUGAAGACUUCGUCCCGCGUCCAGAAGGGACUUUCCUUGGCGUGGAAGGCAAGCUUGGUGAUACGGAUAUGUAGAUCUCCUACCGUUGUAACCGACUCUGUGUAACCCUAGCCCUCUCCGGUGUCUAUAUAAAUCGGAGAGUUUUAGUCCGUAGGACGAACAACAAUCAUACCAUAGGCUAGCUUCUAGGGUUUAGCCUCUCUGAUCUCGUGGUAGAUCUACUCUUGUACUACCCAUAUCAUCAAUAUUAAUCAAGCAGGAUGUAGGGUUUUACCUCCAUCAAGAGGGCCCGAACUUGGGUAAAACAUCAUGUCCCCUGCCUCCUAUUACCAUCCGACCUAGACGCACAGUUCGGGACCCCCUACCCGAGAUCCGCCGGUUUUGACACCGACAAUUACCUUGUGAUGCCAUGUAAUGUCUUGUGGUGAGUGGCAUGAGCUUGCAAAGUUGCUAUCAUGAAUCUGUUUCUGCCAUGUCAUGUUUUUCUUCCAAGUCUGAAACUGAUCAUAUCACUUGUCAUGUUUGCAUGGGUGCUACCUCAUUUUCCAUACAUCUUUGGUUAAAGUUCAGUAAGGGAGUUUUGUUCUUUGUCUUUAUUACUAGCGUGCCAUGCCUUUGUUUGCCAUGAUAUGUUCCUAUAACAUGUUGUUUUCUAGCUCUUAACAUUGCUACCUGAUGUUGUUUAUACCAUGUUUAGUAUUUUCUCUAAGUCUAUGAAGUUGUUAUCAUUUGCAAUUUUGCCAUGCUAUUUUAAGCUUGUUCUAGUGAGUUCUAGCAGGAGCUCAGUGUUCAUGAUUUGUAGAGCUUCACUUGUACUUUACUGUCGUGUGCUUUGUUGCUAUGUUGGAGUGUUGUAGCAUAGUUUCUUGUUGCAUCUUAAGUGUUAUGAUGUUGUUAAGCGUAGUUUUGCAUCAUUCUUGUUUUGCUCGUGAUUUGCAAAUCGUGCAUCCGUUUCCAGUGAUCCUUAUAGAUUUUGAGCAAAAUCACCCCAUCUUUCUAGCGGCAUGCUUGGUUUGCCAACUUGAUUCCUUUAUCAUAUUUUCCCUUCCGGAGUACCCUUAUGCAUUGCACAUCAUACCUUGCAUUCCAUGCCAUGUCUUGCAUCAUGUUGCUUGUGCAUUGCACCGCGAUUGAUUGUUGUUCUGUUGCUUGUGUUCUUGCUUUGGGUAGAGCCUAGAGACGAGUUCAUGAAUGAGGAACCUAUUGAUUAUGUUUCCAAGGAGCAAGCUUUUGACAUCUCUAAGAACUCUGUAGGCAAGAUGAUCAUCACCCUCGAUAUCACUUCUAUCUUUGCUUCCUAGUUGUUCAUUCUAUCGCUAUGUUGCGCUACCUACCACUUGUUUAUCAUGCCUCCCAUAUUGCCAAGUCAAACCGCUAACCCACCUUCCUAGCAAACCGUUGUUUGGCUAAGUUACAGCUUUUGCUCAGCCCCUCUUAUAGCGUUGCUAGUUGCAGGUGCCUUGCAGGUUGUUCCAUGUUGGAACAUGGAUAUGUUGGGAUAUCACAAUAUCUCUUAUUUUAAUUGAUGCAUCUAUAUACUUGGAAAAGGGUGGAAGGCUUGGCCUUUUGUUCGGUGUUUUGUUUCACUCUUGUCGCCCUAGUUUCUGUCAUACCGGUGUUAUGUUCCUUGAUUUUGCGUUCCUUACGCGGUUGGGGUUAUGGGACCCCCUUGACAGUUCACUUUGAAUAAAACUCCUCCAACAAGGCCCAACCUUGGUUGUAACAUUUUUCUAACAACAACCUAAAUUUUUUCCUAGGGAGUAAUUAACCCGAGGAUCAUCUUUAUUCAACCCCCCCGGGCCAGUGCUCCUAUGAGUGUUGGUCUGAACCGAGUAGACUACGAGGCCACGUUGGGGAAACAUGAUGGUUGGUUUUACUCGUAGGAUGUCUCAUCCGGUGUGCCCUGAGAACGAGAUAUGUGCAGCUCCUAUCUGGAUUUGUCGCCGCAUCGGGCGGUCUUGUUGGUCUUGUUUUACCAUUGCCGAAAUGUCUUGUAACCGGGAUUCCGUGAGUGAUCGGGUCUCUCCGGGAGAAGGAAUAUCCUUCGUUGAUCGUGAGAGCUUGUGAUGGGAUAAGUUGGGACACCCCUGCAGGGUAUAAACUUUCCAGAGUCAUGCCCGCGGUUAUGUGGCAGAUGGGAAUUUGUUAAUAUCCGGUUGUAGAGAACUUGACACUUGACUUAAUUAAAAUGCAUCAACUGCGUGUGUAGGCAUGAUGGUCUCUUUUCGGCGGUGUCCGGGAAGUGAACAUGGUUGGGUUAUGUAUGAUCGUAAGUAGUUCAGGAUCACUUCUUGAUCGCUUCUAGUCUUACGACCGUUACAUAGUUUCUCUUCUUACACUUAUACUCGUAUGUUAGCCACCAUAUUUGCUUAGCGCUUGCUGCAACUCCACCUCAUAACCACAUCCUACCCAUUAGCUUAAAUAGUCUUGAUCUCAUAGGUUUUGAGAUUGUUGAGUCCUUGUGACUCACAGAUACUACCAAAACAGUUGCAGGUGUUGAUGAUACCAGCGCAGGAGAUGCUACUGAACUCAAGUGGGAGUUCAACGAGGACCUUGGCCCUUACUACGUGUCUUUUCCUGAUGAUCAGUAGUGGUGCCCAGUUGGGACGAUCGGGGAUCAAGCAUUUGGGGUUAUCUUCUUUUCAUUUGGAUUUGUCCAUAGUCAUACUAUGUGUGUACUCUGAAUGAUAUAUGAACUAUUUGAUCAUUGUGUGACAUGGCGAUUGUAAGCCAACUAUCUAUUUAUCCCUUUCUUGUUCAUUACAUGGGAUUAUGUGAAGAUGACCCUUCUUGCGACAAAACCAACAUGCGGUUAUGCCUCUAAGUCGUGCCUCGGCACGUGGGAGAUAUAGCCGCAUCUUGGGCAUUACAAGUUGGUAUCAGAGCCAUCCCCGACUUAGGAUCCCCCUGCUUGAUCGAAUCGCUAACGUUGUUGAGCCUAGAACAAAAUGUUUGAGUCUUAGGAUUAUAUAUAUUGGAGAGUAGGGUUAUUUUUACGCCUUAGUCCCCUUCAUCGCUCUGGUGAGGCCUCCUGAUGUAGAUGUUUUGACUUUCCUCUACUCAUUUUUGCUAUAAAAAAUUAGGAUCAUGCGGGUAUCUUGGAAUCAUUUCGGUAUUCUUGUGACAAGAACAUUGUUCUUGGUGCAUCCUGACAUUUAGGGGUUGUGGCAGUGUCCCGGUGAAUUGAGCUCCGAGGUGUUGUUGUCACAAUUUUAUCGUUGCAGUUCUGGAAUACCUGAGUUCGCCGACAUUGAAAAUAUAUUUUAUGCAGUUAGUGGUGAGAUAACCUCGAUGCCAACCAGUACUGGGGAGCGAGUUCGGGAGUAUUGCCAUAGCUUGUAUAAAGGAUGCUUUUCAAAGGUUGAGGUACAUGAUUUCCGGAGUUUUCUUGGUUAUGUGUUGACGGAUGGAAACAGUUGGAGCGUAGGGCUUGUUAGUUGUGUAGGGGUACGCAGUCAUUUCAAAAAUUUCCUACGCACAUGCAAGAUCAUGGUGAUGCAUAGCAACGAGAGGGGAAGAGUGUUGUCCAUGUACCCUCAUAGACCGUAAGCGGAAGCGUUAUGACAAUGCGGUUGAUCUAGUCUUACGUCUUCACAAUCGACUGAUCCUAGUACCGAAAGUACGGCACCUCCGCGAUCUACACACGUUCGGCUCGGUGACGUCCCAUGAACUCUCGAUCCAACUGAGUGUCGAGGGAGAGCUUCGUCAGCACGACGGCGUGACGACAGUGAUGAUGAUGCUACCGUCGCAGGGCUUCGCCUAAGCACUACGAUGAUAUGACCGACGUGGAUUAUGGUGGAGGGGAGCACCGCACAUGGCUAAGGGAUCAAUGAUCAACUUGUGUGUCUUUGGGGUGCCCCCUGGACACGUAUAUAAAGGAUGGAGGGAGGAGGAGGCCGGCCCUCAUAGGGCGCGCCCAAAGUGUGGAGUCCUACUAGGACUCCCUAGUCCUAGUAGGAUUCCACCUCCCAUGUGGAAUAGGAAAAAGGGAAGGGAGAAGGAAAAGGAAGGAAGGGGCGCCCCCUUUCCCUAGUCCAAUUCGGACCAGUCCAUGGGGAAGGGGUGCGGCCAGCCUUGAGGCCUUUCUCUCCUUUCCCGUAUGGCCCAUUAAGGCCCAAUACGAAUUCCCGUAACUCUCCGGUACUUCGAAAAAUACCCGAAUCACUCAGAACCUUUCCGAUGUCCGAAUAUAGCCUUCCAAUAUAUCGAACUUUACGUCUCGACCAUUUCGAGACUCCUCGUCAUGUCCCCGAUCUCAUCCGGGACUCCGAACAAACUUCGGUCAUCAAAUCACAUAACUCAUAAUACAAAUCGUCACAGAAUGUUAAGCGUGCGGACCCUACGGGUUCGAGAACUAUGUAGACAUGACCGAGACUCAUCUCCGGUCAGUAACCAAUAGCAUAACCUGGAUGCUCAUAUUGGUUCCUACAUAUUCUACGAAGAUCUUUAUCGGUCAAACCGCAUAACAACAUACGUUGUUCCCUUUGUCAUCGGUAUGUUACUUGCCCGAGAUUUGAUCGUCGGUAUCUCAAUACCUAGUUCAAUCUCGUUACCGGCAAGUCUCUUUACUCAUUCCGUAAUGCAUCAUCCCACAACUAACUCAUUAGUCACAUUGCUUGCAAGACUUAUAGUGAUGUGCAUUACCGAGAUGGACCAGAGAUACCUAUCUGACAAUCGAAGUGACAAAUCCUAAUCUCGAUCUAUGCCAACUCAACAAGUACCAUUGGAGACACCUGUAGAGCACCUUCAUAAUCACCCAGUUACGUUGUGAUGUUUGGUAGCACACAAAGUGUUCCUCCAGUAUCUAGGAGUUGCAUAAUCUCAUAGUCAUAGGAACAUGUAUAAGUCAUGAAGAAAGCAAUAGCAAUAUACUAAACGAUCAAGUGCUAAGCUAACAGAAUGGGUCAAGUCAAUCACAUCAUUUUAUAAUGAUGUGAUCUCGUUAAUCAAAUGAAAACUCAUGUUUAUGGCUAGGAAACUUAACCAUCUUUGAUUCAACGACCUAGUCAAGUAGAGGCAUACUAGUGACACUCUGUUUGUCUAUGUGUCCACACAUGUACUAAGUUUUCGGUUAAUACGAUUCUAGCAUGAAUAAUAAACAUUUAUCAUGAAAUAAGGAAAUAAAUAAUAACUUUAUUAUUGCCUCUGGGGCAUGUUUUCUUCAGUCUCCCACUUGCACUAGAGUCAAUAAUCUAGUUCACAUCGCCAUGUGAUUUAACACCAAUAGUUCACAUCACCAUGUGAUUAACACCCAUAGUUCACGUCGCCACGUGACCAACACUCAAAGCGUUUACUAGAGUCAGUAAUCUUAGUUCACAUCGCCAUGUGAUUAACACCCAAAGAGUACUAAGGUGUGAUCAUGUUUUGCUUGUGAGAGAAGUUUAGUUAAUAGGUCUGCCAUAUUCAGAUCCGUAUAUAUUUUGCAAAUUUCUAUGUCAGCAAUACUCUGCAUGGAGCUACUCUAGCUAAUUGCUCCCACUUUCAAUAUGUAUCCAGAUUGAGACUUAGAGUCAUCUGGAUCAGUGUCAAAACUUGCAUCGACGUAACCCUUUACGACGAACAUUUUGUCACCUCCGUAAUCGAGAAACAUAUCCUUAUUCCACUAAGGAUAAUUUUGACCGUUGUCCAGUGAUCUACUCCUAGAUCACUAUUGUACUCCCUUGCCAAAAUCAGUGUAGGGUAUACAAUAGAUCUGGUAGACAGCAUGGCAUACUUUAUAGAACCUAUGGCUGAGGCAUAGGAAAUGACUUUCAUUCUCUUUCUAUCUUCUGCCGUGGUUGGGCUUUGAGUCUUACCCAAUUUCACACCUUGCAACACAGGCAAGAACUCCUUCUUUGACUGUUCCAUUUGAGCUACUUCAAAAUCUUGUCAAGGUAUGUACUCAUUGAAAAUAUAUCAAGCAUCUUGAUCUAUCUCUAUAGAUCUUGAUGCUCAAUAUGUAAGUAGCUUCACCGAGGUCUUUCUUUGAAAAACUCCUUUCAAACAUUCCUUUAUGCUUUCCAAAAAAUUAUACAUUAUUUCUGAUCAACAAUAUGUCAUUCACAUAUACUUAUCAGAAAUGUUGUAGUGCUUCCACUCACUUUCUUGUAAAUACAAGCUUCACCACAAGUCUGUAUAAAACCAUAUGCUUUGAUCAGUUUAUCAAAGCAUAUAUUCCAACUCUGAGAUGCUUGCACCAGUCCAUAAAUGGAUCGCUGGAGCUUGAUCACUUUGUUAGCACAUUUAGGAUCGACAAAACCUUCUGGUUGCAUCAUAUACAACUCUUCUUUAAGAAAUCCAUUAAGGAAUGCAGUUUUGAGAUCCAUUUGCCAGAUUUCAUAAAAUGCGGCAACUGCUAACAUGAUUCUGACAGACUUUUAAGCAUCGAUACGAGUGAGAAAAUCUCAUCGUAGUCAACGCCUUCAGAUUGUCGGAAAAAAAUUGCGACAGUUCAAGCUUUGUAGAUAGUAACACUACUAUCAGCGUCUGUCUUCCUCUUGAAGAUCCAUUUAUUCUCAAUGACUCACCGAUCAUCGGGCAAGUCAAUCAAAGUCCAUACUUUGUUCUCAUACAUGGAUCCCAUCUCAGAUUUCACGGCCUCAAGCCAUUUUGCGGAAUCUGGGCUCAACAUCGCUUCCUCAUAGUUUGUAGGUUCGUCAUGGUCUAGUAACAUGGCUUCUAGAACAGGAUUACCAUACCACUUUGGUGUGGACCGUACUCUAGUUGACCUACGAGGUUCUGUAGUAACAUGAUCUGAAGUUUCAUGAUCAUCAUCAUUAACUUCCUCACUAAUUGGUGUAGGAAUCACUGGAACUGAUUUCUGUGAUGAACUACUUUCCAGUUUUGGGAGAAGGUACAAUUACCUCAUCAAGUUGUACUUUCCUCCCACUCACUUCUUUCGAGAGAAACUCCUUCUCUAGAAAGGAUCCAUUCUUAGCAACAAAAUAUCUUGCCUUCGGAUCUGUGAUAGAAGGUGUACCCAACAGUUUCUUUUGGGUAUCCUAUGAAGACGCACUACUCCGAUUUGGGUUCGAGCUUAUCAGUUUGAAACUUUUUCACAUAAGCAUCACAACCCCAAACUUUAAGAAACGACAGCUUUGCUUUCUUGCCAAACCAUAGUUCAUACGGUGUCAUCUCAAUGGAUUUAGAUGGUGCUCUAUUUAAGUGAAUACAACUGUCUCUAAUGCAUAACCCCAAAACGAUAGUGGUCAAUCGGUAAGAGACAUCAUAUAUCGCACCAUAUCCAAUAAAGUACGAUUACAACGUUCGGACACACAAUUAUGUUGUGGUGUUCCAGGUGGCGUGAGUUGCGAAACUAUUCCACAUUGUUUCAAAUGAAGACCAAACUCGUAACUCAAAUAUUCUCCUCCACGAUCAGAUCGUAGAAACUUUAUUUUCUUGUCACGAUGAUUUUCCACUUCACUCUGAAAUUCUACGAACUUUUCAAAUGUUUCAGACUUAUGUUUCAUUAAGUAGAUAUACCCAUAUCUGCUCAAAUCAUCUAUGAAGGUCAGAAAAUAACGAUACCCACCGCGAGCCUCAACACUUACCGGAUCGCAUACAUCAGUAUAUAUUAUUUCCAAUAAGUCAGUUGCUCGCUCCAUUGUUCCGGAGAACGGAGUCUUAGUCAUCUUUCCCAUGAGGCUUGGUUCGCAAGCAUCAAGUGAUUCCAAAAGUCCAUCAGCAUGGAGUUUCUUCAUGCGCUUUACACCAACAUGACCUAAACGGCUGUGCCACAUUGUAACGCCCUCGAUGCGGCUAUAUCUCCCACGUGUCGAAGCACGACUUAGAGGCAUAACCACAUUGAAAGCAAUGUCGCAAGUGAGGUAAUCUUCGCAAACAACCCAUGUAAUACAAUAGGGGAAAAGAUACAUAGUUGGCUUACAAUCGCCACUUCACACAAUGACAUGAAUAAAGCAUUACAUCAACCAGAUACAAUCUAGGUCCGACUAUGGAACCAAAAUAAAAGAAGAACCCCAAAAGCGACAAGGUCCCCGAUCGACCCCAACUGGGCUGCACUACUGAUCAACUAGAACGAAACAACACAAAGGACAAGAUCUUCAUCGAGCUCCUCCUUGAGCUUGGUUGCAUCACCUGGAAUGGCAUCAUCGGCACCUGCAAGCUGGUUUUGGAAGUAUCUGUGAGCCACGGGAACUCAGCAAUCUCGCACCCUCGCGAUCAAGACUAUUUAAGCUUAUGGGUUAGGUAAAGGUAUGAGGUGGAGCUGCAGCAAGCGGCUAGCAUAUAUGGUGGAUAACAAACGCAAAUGAGAGCGAGAAGAGAAGGCAAAAGCACGGUCGAACAACUAUAAUCAAGAGGUGAUCCUAGACAACCUACGUCAAACAUAACUCCAACACCGUGUUCACUUCCCGGACUCCGCCGGAAGGAGACCAUCACGGUUACACACGCGGUUGAUGUAUUUUAAUUAAGAUAAACUUCAGGUUUUCUACAACCGGACAUUAACAAAUUCCCAUAUUCCCAUAACUGCGGGCACGGCUUUCAGAAGUUCAAAUCCCUGCAGGGGUGUCCCAACUUAGCCCAUCACAAGCUCUCACGGUCAACGAAGGAUAUUCCUUCUAGCGGGAAGACCCGAUCAGACUCGGAAUCCCGGUUACAAGACAUUUCGACAAGAUAAAACUAAACCAGCAACACCGCCCGAAUGUGCCGACAAAUCCCGAUAGGAGCUGCACAUAUCUUGUUAUUGGGGCACACCGGAUUGUCAAAACUUCCGGUAGGCCAGCCCAGAUUUGCCCCUGGUGGCGACCGGCGGCUAACGAGGUGGACCAACACUCAGAGGAGCACUGGCCCGGGGGUUUAAUAUAAAGCUGACCCUUGAGUCCGCGAAACCCAAGGGAAAAAGAGGCUAGGUGGCAAAUGGUAACAAUGUUGGGCAUUGCUGGAAGAGUUUUAUUCAAGGCGAACUGUCAAGGGGUUCCCAUUAUUACCCAACCGCGUAAGGAACGCAAAAUCCGGGAACAUAACACCGAUAUGACGGAAACUAGGGUGGCAAGAGUGGAACAAAACACUAGGCAUAAGGCCGAGCCUUCCACCCUUUACCAAGUAUAUAUAUGAAUUAAGUAAAUAAGCGAUAUUGUGAUAUCCCAACAUGGAAACAAUGUUCCAUCAAGGAACGAUCUCCAUGUUCCAACAAGGAACAAACUUCAGUCUUCACCUGCAACUAACAACACUAUAAGAGGGGCUGAGCAAAGCGGUAACAUAGCCAAACAAUGGUUUGCUAGGACAAGGUGGGUUAGAGGCUUGGUUCAACAAUAUAGGAGGCAGGGUAAUCAAGUGGUAGGUAUCGCAGCAUAGGCAUAGCAAAAGAGCGAGCAACUAGCAAGCAAAGAUAGAAGUGAUUUCGAGGGUAUAAUCAUCUUGCCUGAGAUCCCGCAAGGAAGAAGAACGAGUCCAUGAAGAAGACAAACGGACGAAGUCGAACGGAUCCUCACAAACGCGAUGUUACCGGAACCAACCCGAAGAAGCAAACACCGGAAAGAAGCACACAACAUAGUAAACAACCAACACAUGAACAUGGUAUGAUAUGCGAGAUGCGGUAUGCGAUGCAUAUGCAUGAUUUGACAAGGAAUGAUUGAACCUGGCCUCAACUUGGAAAUACAAGUGUUCCACUGGAAAGGUGAGGUGAUUUCGGUUGAAAUCGAUAUAAAGUUCACCGGAAUCGGAGGCACGGUUUGGAAAUGGCAAGCAAAACAAAUAUGGCACAGGUCUGCGAUAAACAGAAAGUAGCCAUCUAAAUGCAACAAGAUAAACAUGCUACAGCACUCAAAAAGACAACAAAAUACAUGGCAGGGAUCCAAUCAUGAUGCGUGAUAAAAGAUGAACACUGAGCUACGGCCGAUUCAUCCAUUAACAGGUUCAAACAAGCAUGGCAAAAGUGCAAUUGAUAAACAGGUUUCAGACAUAGUGAAAUUAACACAAGCCUGGAAUUCAUAUCAGGUAGCACACUUUGGAGCAAUAAAACUAUAUGCUACAGGAACUGAACAUGGCAAAGUAAAGCAUGGCAUGGAGCUACUCAAAGAGCUUAACAAAAGUCCCUUAGUGACCUUGAGGCAAAAGGGAUCAGAAAAUAGAAUUGCAAGCAUGUGAACAUGGCAAAAACAUAAUCAGAUCUCAGACUUAGAGAAAAACUGGAGCAUCCAAAUCUGUUAACGAGUAGGCAUGUUCGCGAGCUCGAUGCACUCACUAUAGAGCAAGGCAUUACAAUCUAAGCAUGCACCCAUCAAGAAUACACAUUGUAUAAGCGGGGUCCUGUUCAAUCACGGUCGAAAUAGGGUCCUAUUCAAUGGGAGGGGUGUAGCGUACCGCAAAACGGAGGAAACGGACUUGUGUUGGAGCGCCUACAGUCGAAAUGAGGUCCUGUUCAUCCACCGUCUACUGCCUCGCUCCAGCCUCCACUGGCUAUUGUUCAUCCACCGUCGACCUCUUCCAGCCUCCACGGGCUACUGUUCAUCCACGGGUACUGUUCAUCCAGCCUCCACCGGCUGCUGUUCAUAGAGCCUCUACAGGGUCCUGUUCAUCCACCCCCAACCGUGUGGGAUGCGGCGGCCUCCUAGGGGUCCUGUUCAUCCAACGGCAACGGCCUACUACCAUGGGGUUGUAACGCCACGGAUGUAACUUUCCAUAAUUGUAACUCCAACUCUUGCCAUUUCCGGCUAUGUGAUAUGCUAUAUCCUUCAUGGUUGAAUUUUUUGUCUUUCGUUUUGCAUUUUGUUCAUGUCAUGUAUUUCAUCUCAUGUCAUCAUGUGCAUCUCAUUUGCAUCGUGUUUGUCUCAUGCAUCCGGUCUUUUUACCCGUUGUCCGUUUCGGAAUUCGACACUCCCACAUGCACCCGUUGCACCUCUCAGAUCUCGUUUCAUGAGCGGGAGAAAAACGUUCUCGGAAUGGGUCGAGAUUUGUCGAGUGGCCUUGGUACAUCACUCGUAGGCCGCCUGUCAAAUUCCGUUCCAUUUGGAGGGUAGUUUGAUGCCCCAACGGUUAACCUGGUAACCGCAAAAGCCCUUCUCUCUUUGCUGCCCAACACCCCUCCAAAUAGCCCACUAGCCCAUCUAAACCCCCUCCAUGCUCUUCGUCGUUGUAUCACGAUCGUGUGGGCGAAAACUGCACCUCAUUUGGACUCUUCUAACUCCCCCUACCUAUAAAUAUGCCUCCCCCUCCUCAUUUUGCGGAUGAGAACCCUAGCUCCCACCACCUCCGCGUCGCCGGACGCGCCCACCGACGGCCGGACACGUCCGCCGCUGCCGCCUGGACCUAUUGCACCUCGCCACAUGUGGCCCCGCCGCCUCCACCGCCGCCAGCCCGCCCGAGCCCGUAGCGGCCCCCUCCGGCCCAUCGCCCGCGCCGCCGCCUCCCGUGCUCGCCGCCCGCUGUCGCCUAGCGCCGCCAAUGACACCGCAUGUCGCCGCCGUUGCGCCAGCGCCGCUUCUCGCCCCACUGCCGACGCGCACCGCGCCACCGGACGCCGCCACCGGAUCCGGCGCCGACUGGCCAGAUCCGGCCAGCCCCUCACCGGUGACCUCUUCCCCGGCCAUCUCCGGCGAUCGCCGUCGACUCCGGCCACCUCUCCGGCGACUUUUCCGGCGACCUUGGUUCACGUGCCGUGGACAAACCCUAGAUCCGCGAGGUGAUAUUUCCGUCCAAGUCCCUAGGAUCCAACAUUAUAUGCACCCCUUUGACAUGCCAUAUCUCCAUGCUUGUAGCUCCAUUUUGCGUGCAUGAUAUAUCGAAAUGUUCGUCUCGUGAUGCUCUUCAUGUUAGUGUCAUUUGCAUGCAUGUUACUAUCAAUAUCGAUGCCCUAAUCCUCAUUGCAAAAGUGCGAUAUGAUGUUGUCUACUGGGAUUUAUCAUAACUUGUUGAUUUAUCAUUUUCGUUGCAUUUUGUGUGUGCAUCCUAUGAGGAUGAUGUCUGCAUGUUUCUGGAGCAUCUCCAUGACAUCUUUAAAGUGGUGCAAGCCUUGUAUUUUUAUGUGCUCUGUGGUUACUAGCACAAGCAUGCAAAGUAGGCUAUAUGAUGUUGCUGAUUUCAGGCACUUAGUAUUUUUGCGAAGUCCUUUCCUGUCACAUUAUGAUGCUAUGUUGUCUUGCUGCUACAAGUAGAUCCAUGCACAUUUUGAGGUAGUUCGGUAAGAGUGUUGUGAAGAUAUGGUUAUGCUCUAUUCGUUCAUACCUCUGGUUGCAAUUAUGGAGUACUCUAGAUUGUCAUUACCAUGCUCUACAUUUGCUAAAUAUUGUUACUUGCAGAUUGUUAACAUGAAGUUCAUUUUUGCCAUGUGUUUUGCUAUCGAUCCAUGCACCCUAUGAACUUUCUCUUGCCAUGUUUAGCUUCAUAAAUGUGUCUACUUACUGUUGUUUACUGAGGGAGUCCUGGAUUAGGGGGUGUCCGGAUGGCCGGACUCCUGGACUAUGAAGAUACAAGAUUGAAGACUUCGUCCCGUGUCCGAAAGGGACUUUCCUUGGCGUGGAAGGCAAGCUUGGCGAUACGGAUAUGUAGAUCUCCUACCAUUGUAACCGACUCUGUGUAACCCUAGCCCUCUCCGGUGUCUAUAUAAACCGGAGAGUUUUAGUCCGUAGGACGAACAACAAUCAUACCAUAGGCUAGCUUCUAGGGUUUAGCCUCUCUGAUCUCGUGGUAGAUCUACUCUUGUACUACCCAUAUCAUCAAUAUUAAUCAAGCAGGACGUAGGGUUUUACCUCCAUCAAGAGGGCCCGAACCUGGGUAAAACAUCGUGUCCCCUGCCUCCUGUUACCAUCCGACCUAGACGCACAGUUCGGGACCCCCUACUCGAGAUCCACCGGUUUUGACACCGACAUUGGUGCUUUCAUUGAGAGUUCCUCUGUGUCAUCACUUUUAGGCCCGAUGGCUUCUUCGAUUAUCAAUAGCGAUGCAAUCCAGCGUGAGACUUUUCUCCCAGGACAGAUCUUCGUAUUCGGCGGCUUUGCGCUGCGGGCCAAUUCUCUUGGUCAUCUGGAGCAGAUCGAAAGCUACGCCCCUGGCCAUCAGGUCAGAUUUGGAAGUUUGAACUACACGACCGACAUCCGCGGAGACUUGAUCUUCGACGGAUUCGAGCCACAGCCGAGCGCGCCGCACUAUCACGAUGGGCAUGAUUUAGCUCUGCCGCCGAACAGUGCCCUGGAGGCCGCACCUGUGUCCGCUCCGACCCCUAGCUCAGAGCCCAUCACACCAACCGAGGAUGGGUGGUUAGACACCACCUCGGGGGCUACAGUUUCUACGGCAAUCGAGCAGAACACCAGCCCUAUUCUCUGCGAAGCCCGUGACUCCAAGGAGCCGGACUCCUCUCCAGGCUCCGAGCCCUCCGCACCCCGACUGAUUGAACCCGAUUGGGCGCCGAUCAUGGAGUUCACCGCCGUGGACAUCUUUCAGCACUCGCCCUUCGGCGAUAUUCUGAAGUCACUAAAGUCUCUCUCUUUGUCAGGAGAGCCCUGGCCGGACUAUGGUCGGCAAGGUUGGGAUGCGGAUGAUGAAGAAAUUCAAAGACCACCCACCACCCACUUCGUAGCCACUAUCGAUGAUUUAACCGACAUGCUCGACUUUGACUCUGAAGACAUCGACGGUAUGGACGCCGAUGCAGGAGACGAUCAAGAACCAGCACCUAUAGGGCACCGGAAAGCCACCUCGUCAUAUGAUAUAUACAUGGUGGACACCCCAAAAGAAGGCAAUGGCGAUGGAACAGCGGAGGAUGACCCCUCCAAGAAGCAACCUAAGCACCGGCGUCAGCGGCGCCGCUCUAAAUCCCGCCAAAACAAAAACGGUGAUUCCGGCACGGUGGAUAAUAACACCUCGGACAGUGCCGAAGACAACCACCUCCAGCAAGAUUCAGCACAGGAGGAUAGAGAAGCCAGCCCUCAUGAGAGAGCGGCAGACAGAGAGGUCGAGGACGAUAAUUAUAUGCCUCCCUCAGAAGACGAGGCAAGCCUCGACAAUGACGAAUUUGUCGCGCCGGAGGAUCCCAUCGAACAGGAUCGUUUCAAAUGCAGGCUUAUGGCCACGACGAGCAGCCUCAAGAAAAAACAGCAACAGCUUAGAGCUGAUCAAGAUUUGCUAGCCGAAAGAUGGACUGAAGUCCUUGCGGCCGAAGAGUAUGAACUCGAACGCCCCUCCAAGAGCUACCCAAAGCGCAGGUUGCUACCCCAAUUAGAGGAGGAAGCACCUAAACCUACAUCACCAACGCAUGAUGCGGCCGACCGGCCACCCCGUGGCCACGACAGAGAGGCCUCUCGGCCCUCCACUCAAGCCGCACCCCGGCGCCGCUCUAAAACUACCAAGGCACGGAAAAAUGCGCUAGACCUGCGAGAUAUAUUGGAGGACAAGGCAAGACAAACAAGAUCGAUCUACGGAUCACGUGGGCGCCCCACGGCACGAGACGUUACUCGUCACGCCGGAUACAGUAAAUCCAGCCUGGCUGAACACAGUAGACAAAGCUCGUUUGAGCUGCGUUGUGAUGUAGCCCAAUACAGAGGCGCCGGACACCCACUAUGCUUCAUAGAUGAAGUAAUGGAUCAUCAAAUCCCCGAGGGUUUCAAACCCGUGAACAUCAAAUCAUACGAUGGCACAACAGAUCCUGCGUAUGGAUCGAGGACUAUCUCCUUCAUAUCCACAUGGCCCACGGUGAUGACCUACACGCCAUCAAAUACCUCCCACUCAAGCUUAAAGGACCAGCCCGGCAUUGGCUUAACAGCUUGCCAGCAGAAUCAAUUGGUUGUUGGGAGGACCUAGGAGCUACAUUCCUCGACAAUUUCCAGGGCACUUAUGUGCGACCACCAGACGCCGAUGACCUAAGCCACAUAAUUCAGCAGCCAGAGGAAUCGGCCAGACAAUUCUAGACACGGUUCCUAACCAAGAAAAAUCAAAUCGUUGACUGUCCGGACGCAGAGGCCCUAGCAGCCUUCAAGCAUAACAUCCACGACGAGGGCUUGCAUGGCACCUAGGACAGGAAAAGCCGAUUUCUAUGGCAGCCCUCACGACACUUAUGACCCGCUUUUGCGCGGGAGAAGACAGCUGGCUAGCUCGUAGCAAUAACAUGACUAAGAGGCCUGGUAAUUCGGAUACCAAGGACAGCAUUGGCAGGUCACGUCGCAACAAGCAAAAGUGCCGCAUUAACGGUGACAAUGCUGAGGAUACGACAGUUAAUGCCGGAUUCAAAGGCUCUAAACCCGGUCAGCGGAAAAGGCCAUUCAAAAGAAAUACUCUGGGCCCGUCCAGUUUGGAGCGAAUACUCGACCGCUCAUGCCAGAUACAUGGCACCCCCAAAAAACCAGCCAAUCACACCAACAGGGAUUGUUGGGUGUUCAAGCAGGCAGGAAAGUUAAAUGACAAAAGAAGAGACAAGGGGCUCCAUAGCGAUGACGAGGAGGAGCCCCGGCCGCCGAACAACAGCAGACAGAAAGGUUUUCCCCCACAAGUGCGGAUGGUGAACAUGAUAUACGCAACCCAUGUCCCCAAGAGGGAGCGGAAGUGUGUGCUAAGGGACGUAUAGGCGAUGGAGCUAGUCGCCCCAAAGUUCAACCCAUGGUCUUCCUGCCCAAUCACUCUUGAUCGAAGGGACCACCCCACUAGCAUCCGUCAUGGCAGAUUCGCCGCAUUGGUUCUAGACCCAAUUAUUGACGGAUUUCACCUCACUAGAGUCCUUAUGGACGGCGGCAGCAGCCUGAACCUGCUUUAUCAGGAUACAGCGCGGAAAAUGGGCAUCGAUCCCUCGAGGAUUAAACCCACCAGAACGACCUUUAAAGGCGUCAUACCAGGUGUAGAAGCCAACUGUACAGGCUCAGUUACACUUGAAGUGGUCUUCAGAUCUCCGGAUAAUUUCCGAAGCGAGGAGUUAAUCUUUGACAUAGUCCCGUUCCGCAGUGGCUAUCACGCACUGCUCGGGCGAACCGCAUUUCCCAAGUUCAAUGCGGUGCCGCACUAUGCAUACCUCAAGCUCAAGAUGCCAGGCCCUCGAGGCGUCAUCACGGUCAAUGGAAACACCGAACGCUCUCUCCGAACGGAGGAGCAUACGGCGGCUAUCGCAGUGGAAGUACAAAGCAGCCUCUCAAGGCAAUUCUCCAGUCCGGCCAUUAAACGUCCGGACACCGUUAAGCAUGCCCGGAGUAACCUACAACAAGACCGCCUGGUAGGUUCCAAGCAAGCAUAGCAAUGCGGCCCCAACCCCAGCCCUCGCGAACUUGCGAAACCAGUGUUGCGCGUACAUAACUACGCUCUAGAAAUACCAUGGGCACAGGGGGAGGGCACCAUCACGACACGCCCAAAACGUAGCUUAAACCGCACUAGGGGCUGCCAAUUUCUUAAUUUUCUCUUAUUUUCAAGACUCCAUUCUUCGGAAGGCUUGUCCGGCAGUACAAUUGCCGCAAAAACAAUACAACCAGGGAAGCAGAAAGCCACGCCGCACUAUGGAACUCUAAGGUGGUCUCUAUAACGAGCAGUAUACCUGUUUCGCAUAACAUUCCACAGCUCGCCCCUGGAAAGGACAUAUUUGAUAGUCCCAUCUUUUGCUUAUCGCACUAUUUGUAUCGUUCUGCUUUGAUCGCAGCUUUUUUAAAUAAACAAUGCAUAGCUUCCGUCUAUUAUCGCAUUACUUCUUUUUUUACGAAUAUAUGUUCAUUAAUGACAUGUUGCACCCGUACACUUUGGUACGGCCAAUACGCCGGGGGCUUAAGUACCCCACAACAUGGUGUGAGAAGUCCGAACACUUUCACAAGUGCGGCACACUAAACUUAUAGCAUUAUAUGCAUCGUCUCCAAAUCAUGUCUUGGGUCAAUAGUUGGGUUUGCCCGGCUCCUAUGUUUUGGUACCUUACGUUCCGUCAUAUCGGCUAAGGUAGCACUAGGAGAACUACUGCGAUUGUGCCCCAGUUGAGCUGGGCUAAGCACCUCAGUAGAGAAAGCUAAAACUGACCGUCAUGAUGAGGCGAGAGCUGGUCGCUGUUCGAGAGGUUUUCGAGUCCCUAAAGACUUAUGCCGCUUAGAGCAAGGAGUCGGCUUUGUCCGGUCCAGGCGUCGAUAGCGCCCCGAACUCGGUCUUCCGAACACUAGGGCCUUCGCCGAAAUUUAAAAUUAUAGAAUUCUAUGGCUAAGUGAGAGUGUUCAAGCAUUAUAGUCUGAUUGCCUUGUUCGUUGUGUUGAGCGCCUCCCUCAAAGGACCCAAGAAUGGGAAAAAGAGCGCUCAUGUUUAUCCCGAACACCCCAGCACUCGUGGCAUGGGGGCAGAAGCCGACGACUCGCCAUCUCUCAAAUUUGAUAAACGGCCGCACAAAAGGUAAUAUUUUAAAUUCAAAAGUGUUGCUUAGCGCAUAUGAACAAGUUUUCAGUGUACAGGAUCACAAAUGCGAGUUUACUCAAAAAUUACAUCUUUGGAGCAUUCAUCCGCUAUAAGGCGGGCACCCUUCAGGACGCCCUCAUAAUACGCUUCCGGGACGCGAUGCUCCUUGCCCGGCGGCGGCCCGUCCUUCACCAGCUUCUCCGCAUCCAUCUUGCCCCAGUGCACUUUAGCAUGGGCAAGCGCCCUACGGGCACCUUCGAUGCAGACGGAGCGCUUGAUUACUUCAAGCCGUGGACAGGCAUCCACCAGCCGCCUCACCAGCCUGAAGUAGCUCCCAGGCAGAGCCUCUCCAGGCCACAACCGAACUAUGAGGCCCUUUACGGCCUGUUCGGCAACCUUGUGGAGCUCGACCAUCUGCUUCAGCUGGUCGCUCAAAGGCACCAGGUGUCCGGCCUCAGCAUACUGAGACCAGAACACCUUCUCCGUCGACCUCCCCUCCUCGCCUCGGUAGUAGGCGGCGGCAUCAGACGCACUGCGGGGCAAAUCUGCGAAUGCUCCUGGAGAGCUCCGGACUCGGGUAAGUAACAAAUAAUUCACUUUCACGUGCUUGCUUUGCAUAAUGAAUGCCUUACCCGCCGCUAUCUUCUUCAUCGCGUCAAUUUCUUUGAGGGCUUUCCGGGCUUCGGCCUUGGCAGACUUCUCGCUUUUGAAGGCUGCCACAAGCUCGGACACUUGCAUCUUUGAGUGAAGCUCCAAACUCUCGUGUUUUUUCACGAGAGCCUGGAGCUCUUUCUGCACCUCCUCCACCCGCGCCUCCUGUUUCUCUCUCUCCGUGCGCUCUGCGGCCGCCCUGUUUUCGGCCUCGGUGAGCGCUUGCUUAAGGGUUGCCACCUCGGCCGUGGCCCCUAUAAUAGCACGUUGAUCCUGUCAUUUUUUGCAACCACAUCUUCUCUAUAUAAUUGCGCAAGGUAUUACUUACCUUCCUUCUCCUCGAGUUGUCUCUUGGCAUGGCCGAGCUCGUUCUCGGACCGCGCGAGGUUCUGCUUCAGCGUAUCCACCUCUGCAGUCAGUGCGGCGGAGGCCAGCAGCGAAGCCUGCAUACGCAUAUUGACUUGAUUAUGUUAGACUCAUGCGAUUAUUAGAUCCUUUAUUCGGCUCUUCUUUCCGAACGCCGAACAGAGCAUCAGGGGCUACUAUCUAUGCGGUAAUAUUUUUACAUAUUCUUUACCUACCUCAAAGCCUGUUAGAAGGCUGGCACAGGCUUCAGUCAGUCCACUCUUGGCGGACUGAACCUUCUGGAUCACUGCACUCAUAAUAGUGUGGUGCUCCUUGUCGAUGGAGGCGCCGUUAAGUGUCUCCAGCAAAUUGUCAAGUGCCUCCGGUUGGACGGAGGUCACCGGCUCGGUAGGCUCGCUCCUCUUGGAAGGAGGCCGCCUACUGGAGUCUGGAACCAUUGAAGGUUCCGGCGCAGUGUCUGGCUCAAGGCCGGACUCGGAGCCCUUGGGGGUUUUAUCCCCUUUGCGCCUGGAGUCCGGGAGGUCGCCUUGCGGCGCCUCCAAGACCACCUCCUCCUGGCUUGGAACCUGUUGGGACAGCACCUCGGCGUCGUCCGUAGGGUGGGGGGAGGUAGCCGUCGGAAGAAAAUUCACAUCCGACGAAUCCAGGGAACCGCUCGACGACACGUCGAGCUGGUCUUUGGGUGGACUGCAUAAACAUGUUCGACAUAAGGAAAAGUUGUGCAAUGGAAGAAUACUAUGAAUCACUCUGGUAUCCGGACACUUACGAUCUCGCCAGGGGCUUGGCCCUGUGCGGCCACUCCUCUUCGCCAUCGUCGGCGUUUGUGGACCCGUCCGGAGGAAGGGUUUUCCCCUUCUUGGACCCUUCGGCCUCCCCAGUUGGGGCGGCCUUCCUUUUCUUCUCUCCCCCCGCUGGAGGGGGAGAGGUCUCUUCUUCCUCCUCCUCGUCUUCAUGGGAGGAGUGCGUCUUGGAGUCGUCGGACGAUGAAUCCGACACCCCCAGGCGCCGGGCACUCUUCCGAGUCCCCGUGGCCUUCUUCUUGGCCUUCUUCUCCGGCACCACAUAGGGUGCCGGAACUAGCAGCUUCGCCAAGCGAGCGUCCGCUGGGCCUUCGGGCAAAGGAGCCGGACAGUUGAUCUGUCCGGACGUCUCCUGCCAAUCCUGUCAAAGGUAAGGGAGCUUAAGAUCCCGCAUGGAGUCAAACUAUGAAAAACUAAUACCCUAUAAAAGGUAAAAACAGCUUACCGCACGAGCGCGACGCUGCGUGCUGAAUCCGCGAUCCUCGGUAGCGGAUGCGGGGGCCUCGACGCCCUUGAAAAGCACCUUCCAGGCAUCUUCGUAUGUUGUGUCGAAGAGCCUGCUUAGAGUUCGGUGCUGCACCGGGUCGAACUCCCACAGGUUGAAAGCCCGUUGUUGACACGGGAGGAUCCGGCGGAUGAGCAUAACCUGGACUACGUUGACAAGUUUGAGCUUCUUGUCCACCAGGGUUUGGACGCAUGUUUGGAGUCCGGUCAGCUCUCCUUCUUUACCCCACGACAGGCCCGUCUCUUUCCAGGAGGUGAGCUGUGUUGUGACGCCCCAAGACCGGAGCUUCAGAUGCCUUCCAUCUUUUCCGAGUUCCGUCGGGUGUUUUGUUUAGUCUGUUGCAUGCAUCAUUGCAUAUUUUGCGUUGCAUCAUGUCAUCAUGCCAUCAUGUCAUUUCUUUUCUUAACUCAACUAAAUAAAUGGCAUGGAUCUUUGAUCCAUUUAAUCGAGGGAAGGGUGACUUCUCUUUAUAACAUAUCCUCCCGAUAUUAGGGAGCUAUAGUAAAUAUUUCUUUAAUUUGGAAUUCACCUUAACACACUUGCAUAUUAAAUCCCUUGGCCUUUUUCUUCUUCAACUGUUGACUCUCUAACCUUGCCAUUUAUUCUUUCAUCAUUUUCCGGAGCUCUACAAAAAUCCUCAACAUUUUUUGGAAACUCCUAAAACCUCGUCCUAGUUCAAACCCAUUUGAAUAAAAUUCAAAUGAGCUUGAAUUCUUAUCGUUCGAUCUGGCAUUUUCUAAUUUUCUCGGACCAAGCAUUUUUUUGUGAGUCCAAGAAAAUUAGCCACAUGCCCUAAUUCUUCUUCCAACUUUCUCUUGUCUUCUUUCCUUCUAGUUUUCUGUUAAUGUAAAGAGAAAGGAGGAAGAGAGAAACCCAGCCGCCACUUGUGUCCAGUCGGACCAAUUUGGCCCAAGGCCUAGGCUACCGCAAGCCCUUUAGCCAGGCCGGCCCAUUCUGCUUCACGGCCUGCUAGACCCAGCCGCCUCCCACUAGUGUCGCAACCCUAGGCCGACCGAAACCAUCUCCUUCUCGAUCCCUCUCUCCCUCCUAGCGCCGUCACCAGGAGACACAUGCUCGACCCCCUCCUCUCGCCGUGAUCCUUUCUCCCUCUCUCGAUCUCCCACGCCCAAACCUCCCAUCUCCCUCUCGUGCCCUAUGAUGCAACCCCGUCGUCGUGCACCACCUUUCGCACCUCCCGCCGCCUCCCAUGGCGCCCUCACCCGUGCGUGAGACCUCCCCGUCGCCAGCACCGCUGCCUUGCCGCGCUUGAGUCCUUGUGCGCCUCCCUGCUUCGUCCGGCCGCAGCACCGCCAAGCUCCUCCAACCGCCCCUGCCGGCGACCGGCAGGUCGCUGCCGUCCGUCUCCUCCACUUGGAGCCUGCGCAGCCACGCGCCCAGAGGCCGCCGCCCACUCCUCCCUCGAUCCCGCCGGAUUCAAGCGCCGCGAAGCAGCUCCCUCUCCUGCGCGUCUCGCUGCCGUCUCCCCGCAUCAGACCUGGCCUCCACCACCUCGCCUUCAUCUGCCUCCCCGCCAGGGUCCCUCGCAGUCUCCACAUCGUCGCCUUGCCUCGUCGCUGGCCCUGCUCCACCUCGUCGCCUCGCAUCCGCAGAACUAGGCCACGGCCGCGCCAUGGCCACCUCCCUCCUUUGCACCCGGCCUCGACUGGAGUCGCCCCUGUCAGCAACCAGCACGACCACGAGGCUGCACUCUCCUUCCCCUGCACAGGAGCUCGCAGUUACCACCAUCGCCUCCUUGUUGUUGGCAUCCUGAGGCCCUUUUGUUGUCUUGUGUUGGACGCGGCAAGAUCGACUACAACGACGCCAAGUUCCACCACCGGCAAGACCCGGACUCUGAAUGCAAGUACAACUACAAACCCGAAGAACUCAGAUGCAUCAAGUCCCCGAGGAGACCCGUUUUUUCGUCAAGUUCGACUACAUUGUGACGUGUCAAGUACCUAUACCAUGUCUCCGAAAUCGCCAAGACCGUCCCGAAUAUUGCCAAGUACCACUUCGAUUCCAGAACGCGACAAGUACCACGACGCCCGGAGUCCUUGGAUCCGUCAAGUUCCAUUAUGAGAUAUACAACUACCGUCGACCUCAAAGACCUCGGAUUCAUCAAGUUCUCACGACGACAAGUGUGACCCUUAGGAUGCGCCAAGUUCGUCCACAAAAAAACGCCAAGUACCACUCAUGUCGGCAAGACCCGCAAGUCGGACCCCGAAUGAUCGAUGUCUCGUGGACCGUGUACAACUACCGUCGCCCCGAAGACGUCGGAGUCAUCAAGCACCUCUCCGAACGAACGUGAAUGACUACCGUCGCCGAGAUCGCGAGAACCUCUACCGUCGACCCUAGAGCGUGCGAGAACGACUACUUCCACUACCAUCGUCGCGACAACGUCUACUUCCUCUACUUUGCACCAAACGAGAACUGUCCCGCUUGCACGCUUCGAAGGUAUAAUCCUGAGAUGACCGCCCGUGAACGAAUGCAUGUGUGAUGUAUGAGAUGCUCGUGUUUGCUCCGUGCUCGAAUUGUCGGUGCACGUUGCCCCUCUUUUGCCUGUCACCAUCGUCGACUCAUGGGACAUCCGGUAUCCGGGAGUGCCCCACCAUCUUUUGCACGCAUCCGCACACUUCUCCUUUGCAUCGGUAUCUCAAUCGAGUUACCGGAACUGGGACAUUGCCGUGGCACCGUUUCGAUAUCGUUGCCGUGGCACCCCUUUCCUUUCCACCACGGUGACAAAUGCUUCAUAAUGCUCUUGUCAACUUGUAAUAUAAAUUGCAUAAACUUGUUCAUGUCAUCCGCAUCAUGAUAACAACAAUUAAAAUGUUCAGAUUGUUGUUGCAAUAAAUUACUAAGGGAUAUGAGGAUUUACCGGAUUCGUUAUUUGUUAUAUCCGGCCCCAUUUAAAUUGUUAGAUGGUAUAGUUUUGUUAUGCUUCACCUCUUGCCAUGUUAAUCAACAUUUAAUAUUGUUGAGUACCUAAACGAGAGAAAACUAAAUAAUUGAUGUGGUGUUUCGUCAAUAUGCAACUCAUUGCAUAUUGAGCUCCACUUAACUUGUAGUUUUGUUUGUGCCCAUAUUGCCAUGUCAUGCAUAUUUAAACCGGACAUGCAUCAUACUUGAUUGUGCAUCAUGCCAUGAUUCUGUGGUGGUUGUUUACUAUGCUGUUUGUUCUUUCCGGUGUUGCUUCUUCCGGUCGUUUCCGAUAACGUCGCGUUUGUGAGGAUUCGUUCGACUACGUCCGUUUGUCUUCUUCAUGGACUCGUUCUUCUUCCUUGCGGAAUCUCAGGCAAGAUGAUCAUACCCUCGAAAUCACUUCUAUCUUUGCUUGCUAGUUGCUCGCUCUUUUGCUAUGCCUAUGCUGCCAUACCUACCACUUGCUUAUCAUGCCUCCCCUCGUGUUGAACCAAGCCUCUAACCCACCUUGUCCUAGCAAACCGUUGUUUGGCUAUGUUACCGAUUUGCUCAGCCCCUCUUAUAGCGUUGUUAGUUGCAGGUGAAGAUUGAAGUUUGUUCCUUGUUGGAACAUGUUUACUUGUUGGGAUAUCACAAUACCUCUUAUUUAAUUAAUGCAUCUAUAUACUUGGUAAAGGGUGGAAGGCUCGGCCUUAUGCCUGGUGUUUUGUUCCACUCUUGCCGCCCUAGUUUCUGUCAUAUCGGUGUUAUGUUCCUGGAUUUUGUGCUCCUUACGCGGUUGGGUUAUAAUGGGAACCCCUUGACAGUUUGCCUUGAAUAAAACUCCUCCAGCAAUGCCCAACAUUGGUUUUACCAUUCGCCACCUAGCCUUUUUUCCCUUGGGUUAGGCCAGCCCAAGGGUCAUCUUUAUUUUUAACCCCCCGCCCCCGGGCCAGUGCUUGUCUAAGUGUUGGUCCAACCGAGCAAUGUUCGGAGCUACCAAGGGCAACUCUGGGCUGGCCCACCCGACGUCUUGCUCAUCCGGUGUGCCCUGAGAACGCGAUAUGUGCAGCUCCUAUCGGGAUUUGUCGGCACAUCUGGGUGGUCUUGCUGGUCUUGUUUUACCAUUCUCGAAAUGUCUUGUAACCGGGAUUCCGAUUCUGACCGAGUCUUCUCGCUAGAAGGAAUAUCCUUCGUUGACCGUGAGAGCUAGUGAUGGGCUAAGUUGGGACACCCCUGCAGGGAUUUGAACUUUCAAAAGCCAUGCCCGCGGUUAUGGGCAGAUGGGAAUUUGUUAAUGUCCGGUUGUAGAAAACCUGAAGUUGACCUUAAUUAAAAUGCACCAACCGCGUGUGUUACCGUGAUGGUCUCUUCUCGGCAGGGUCCGGGAAGUGAACACGGUGUUGGAGUUAUGCUUGACGUAGGUUGUUCUAGGAUCACUUCUUGAUCAUAGUUGUUCGACCGUGCUUUGCUUUCUCUUCUCGCUCUCUUUUGCGAAUAGGUUAGCCACCAUAUAUGCUAGUCGCUUGCUGCAGCUCCACCCCAUACCUUUACCUUACCCACAAGCUUAAAUAGUCUUGAUCGCGAGGGUGUGAGAUUGCUGAAUCCCUGUGACUCACAGAUACUUCCAAAACCAGCUUGCAGGUGCCGAUGAGUUCGUGCAGAUGACGCAACCAACCUCAGGAGGAGCUCGAUGAAGAUCUUGUCCUUUGUGUUGUUGCGUUUUCCAUUUGAUCAGUAGUGGAGCCCAGUUGGGACGAUCAGGGAUCUGUGUAGCAUUUGGGGUAGUCUUCUUUUAUUUCGGUUCCGUAGUCGGACCUUGAGUGUAUCUGGAUGAAUGUAAUGCUUUAUUCAUGUAAUUGUAUGAAGUGACGAUUGUAAGCCAACUAUGUAUCUCUUUCCCUUAUGUGUUAUAUGGGCUGUGUGAAGAUUACC
rnacentral:lncRNA from 1 species